rnacentral:rRNA from 1 species
UACGUAGGGGGCAAGCGUUAUCCGGAUUUACUGGGUGUAAAGGGAGCGUAGGCGGUAAUGCAAGUCAGAAGUGAAAGCCCGGGGCUCAACUCCGGGACUGCUUUUGAAACUGUGUUGCUUGAUUGCAGGAGAGGUAAGUGGAAUUCCUAGUGUAGCGGUGAAAUGCGUAGAUAUUAGGAGGAACACCAGUGGCGAAGGCGGCUUACUGGACUGUAAAUGACGCUGAGGCUCGAAAGCGUGGGGAGCAAACAGG